UUUCUCAAAGACUCCCUCCAGCUCCUUCUCAAGGAGAAAAGUUUCUCUCAACCCCUCCCUUAGGGGACCAAUGUCAAAAGAGGUCAUUUGCCCCCUUCCCACAUACUCCCAGGGCAUCCUGGAGCCCUGGUUAACAAAUGCAUUUAAAUUCCCACCGUAGCCAAAGGCUUUUUUGGUGGAGCCAGGUUAUUCUGGAUCAAUACAUGUGCCAGGACAUUUUUAAGCCAUUUAAUUGGUAUUCAAAUUGAUGGCCCAGAUUCCUUAUCCUUCACGGAAAUGGAUGCUGGAUGGUGCACAGGAUGCUGAGAUAUCCUGUGGAGGGUAUGCUUUGAAAAAGCUCUUGCAAUCUCAUCACUCCCAGCAGUCUCACAUAUAAAAUGUUUGAUAGCUGACAAUUUAACACAUCCAACCAGAAACAAAUCAUCAUUGUUAUGCAUCACUGAUGGGCCAUCCACUAAGCAGAUGUGUGAGAAUUUGUGUUGUAAUUACCUACAGAAGAGUUGCCAGCAGCUAUUGCCCCUGAAAAUUUUUUCAGGCACACAGGCAUAUUUUAUAUCUAUUGUCUAAUAUGCUGGGAAUCAAAGGUACUUUGGCAGCAGUAUUAGCAAACCAACUAUCUGUAAUAACCUAUUUGGUGUCCUGAGUCUCAAACCAGUACUCUUCCUAAUUACUCUUAACUCCUUAAUUUUCACUGUUUGUCUUAGUCUGUUUUCUGUUGCUAUAACAGAAUAUCUGAGACUGGGUAAUUCAUAAGGAAAAAAGGUUUAAUUGGCUCAUGAUUCUGGAGCCUGGAAAGUCCAAUAUCUGGUGGCCACAUCUGGUGAGGACCUCAUGCUGUUUCAACUCAUGGUGGAAAACAGAAGGGAAAGAGGUAGUGUGUAAAGAGACCAAACAUGAGAAGCAGCCUCCCUUUAUAAUGACCCACUCUCGAAGUAACAAAUCUAGUCCCACAAGAGCAAAACUCACUCACUCCUAUGAGAUAGCAUUAAUCCUUUCAUGAGGGUAGAUUCCUCAUGACCUAAACAGCUCUUAAAGGUCUCACCAACUCUCAUCACCCUUACCCUGGGGACCAAGACAACAUGACUUCUGCUAGGGUCAAACGAUAUUCAAACCAAAGAACUGUUUAUCUUAGGUUGCAACUAUAUUUGUGUGUGUGGUUUUUUUGUUGUUGUUGUUUGUUUGUUUUCGUUUUUGAGAUAGUUUGGCUCUUGUUGCCCAGGAAGUUAGUAACAUUUGUAGAUAAUCAGUGUUUAUCAAUGGCUUCACAUUGAUUUACAGCCCACCUCCCUCAAACUAAAACUUGAGGACUUCUCAUGCAAAGCACUGCUUUCAUGGAGAUAGCAUAGGGCAUUUAGACCAAAACUUGGAUUCUAGCUUUAGCGCCAAUGCUUGCCAUGUGGCAUUACUGUAGUUGCCCCCCAAGCCUCAGUUUCCUUACUUGUAAAAUGGAUAUGACAGUAGCAACUUCAGAGAUAAAAUAUGCAUAAACCAAUCCCAUCUAUUUUAUAACUAGUGAGUGUCAUUGUUCAGAAAUCAAACAUUUUAGCACUGAAAUAUGCAGCUGGCUGUAAUCGUGGAAUGACAUUGCUCUGCCUGGUUUUACUGGCUUGAAUUUCUGACAGUGCUUCCAGCUGCCUAGUUUUCCAUUCGUCCAGUCCUAUUGUUUACAUGGAAUGACACCCAAGAUUUCCUGAAGCUUAUGGCUUUAUUUGCACUUCUGGCUUUGCUGACUCCCCGUCGAGUGCUGUCAGCAAAGUGAGCAAGAGCAGCCCUGGGCUCAUCAGCCA
rnacentral:lncRNA from 1 species